rnacentral:rRNA from 1 species
AGUCGAGCGAGUCUGCCUUGAAGAUCGGAGUGCUUGCACUCUGUGAAACAAGAUACAGGCUAGCGGCGGACGGGUGAGUAACACGUGGGUAACCUGCCCAAGAGAUCGGGAUAACACCUGGAAACAGAUGCUAAUACCGGAUAACAACAGAUGAUGCCUAUCAACUGUUUAAAAGAUGGUUCUGCUAUCACUCUUGGAUGGACCUGCGGUGCAUUAGCUAGUUGGUAGGGUAACGGCCUACCAAGGCGAUGAUACAUAGCCGAGUUGAGAGACUGAUCGGCCACAUUGGGACUGAGACACGGCCCAAACUCCUACGGGAGGCAGCAGUAGGGAAUCUUCCACAAUGGACGCAAGUCUGAUGGAGCAACGCCGCGUGAGUGAAGAAGGGUUUCGGCUCGUAAAGCUCUGUUGUUGGUGAAGAAGGACAGGGGUAGUAACUGACCUUUGUUUGACGGUAAUCAAUUAGAAAGUCACGGCUAACUACGUGCCAGCAGCCGCGGUAAUACGUAGGUGGCAAGCGUUGUCCGGAUUUAUUGGGCGUAAAGCGAGUGCAGGCGGCUCGAUAAGUCUGAUGUGAAAGCCUUCGGCUCAACCGGAGAAUUGCAUCAGAAACUGUCGAGCUUGAGUACAGAAGAGGAGAGUGGAACUCCAUGUGUAGCGGUGAAAUGCGUAGAUAUAUGGAAGAACACCGGUGGCGAAGGCGGCUCUCUGGUCUGUUACUGACGCUGAGGCUCGAAAGCAUGGGUAGCGAACAGGAUUAGAUACCCUGGUAGUCCGUGCCGUAAACGAUGAGUGCUAAGUGUUGGGAGGUUUCCGCCUCUCAGUGCUGCAGCUAACGCAUUAAGCACUCCGCCUGGGGAGUAC